GCGUUUGUAUUGAGAUGGUUAGCAUGGAUGCCUUCCAAGCAUUCGACGGGGGUUCGAUUCCCCCUAAACGCA
rfam:Angiostrongylus costaricensis strain Costa Rica genome assembly, scaffold: ACOC_scaffold0002146